rnacentral:rRNA from 1 species
CCGGCGCACGGGUGAGUAACACGUAUGCAACCUGGCCGUCACAGGUGGAUAACCGGAAGAAAUUCCGACUAAUACAGCAUAACACUCCUGAGGGACAUCCCUUGGGAGUCAAAGGAGGCAACUCCAGUGACGGAUGGGCAUGCGGCGCAUUAGGUAGUUGGUAGGGUAACGGCCUACCAAGCCGACGAUGCGUAGGGGUUCUGAGAGGAAGGUCCCCCACAUUGGAACUGAGACACGGUCCAAACUCCUACGGAAGGCAGCAG